rnacentral:lncRNA from 1 species
CUCCCUUCUUCUCUUCAUAGACGCCCCCUGCAGCUACCCCAUUCUCCUUUGGUCUUCUACGUUUUGCUUUCAUUUUCCUUGGUUUCGAUGGCCCUUCACCUUGGACGAGCGGCUUAUGGUUUUCUUCUCAUUUUCCUUCCUCAAUCCAGCUGUCUUCUGCUUUCUUCAUUUCAGUUUUCGUCGAAGCUGAGCCCACUCACGUCACUUGCUUCACUUCGGUUUUACAGUUCACUCCGAGACAUCUCCACCAAUUCUGCAGCUCCGUUCCAACGUCCACGAGCCCACGUCAGCCGGGUUUCUCCCUUUUUAGUUGUCGCAUCACUGAAGUCAACUCAACCCAACCCAACUAAGCCGGGACUAGCCUUCUUGAAGCCGUGACCAACAAACCCCCUUGAAAACUGGGCAGCAACCUCGAAGCUUUGAGGCCUGAUUUCGGCCCGUUCUAGGCCACCGUUGGCGAUCCCACUUUGGAGUUUAACAGCCGCUGUCGCGUCCCCGUCGUUUUGGUCCACUCGAAUCGUUAAUCCAAUGAGUUUAACUCACUAAUCCUUGCUUAGUAAGUUAAUGACGUUUAAGGAUUGAAUUAGUUUAGACUAAGCAUGGAUUAUGUGGAUAGUUUGGUUAGAUUAGCAAUUUAAUUAAUUGUUAUUACAUGUUAGGUGGUUAGAGUAGUGUAAUUAGACCCUAGACAAGUUCUAGUAUUUAACUAGAGUGGUUCGGAAAUUUUCCGAGCGCGUCUCGG